CCAACUUUCCUGGCCAUUGGCAACGCUGUCUGAGGCUGAUGGGAGUUGUGGUCCAACAGCAUCUGGAGGCACACUGGUUGGGAAAGGCUGAUUCAACAGAUUAAAAUGGUUGCGCUUCUGUCCCGAUUUCUAAAAUUCCUUUCAUGCUGCAGUACCUGAAAGCGUGGUUUUUCAACCGAUAUACCAACAUUGUUGCACAAAUGUCUUUCACAUUGUUGCAACGGAAGACACAAAUACCAGAUGAAAAGGGCAAGAAAAUCAGCAAGAAAGCAAAAAUUUUAAAAAAAACACCCUCCAAAAAGUGCCAGAAACAAAGUGUUGAUGAAAACAGAAGUUGCUUUAAAAUAUAAGCCGCUGCAAAACAGAAUGGUGGGACUGCUGCGGUUAAGGUAAAAAAACCACCAGCUCUGCUGGGACUGAGGAGAGGAGGGCUUAAAAGACACUGGAAAAGGACUUGCAAAGCAACUUUAACAGGAAAGCAGACAAAGUAAACUGAACAUAGAGAAGAGACAAACAGGUAAGAUCUUUUAGAACUUUUAGCAGCUGCGGCUGCCUGGCUGCAUCGAAGGCAGGGGAAGAGGCAGGAAAGAACGGGACUUCCAAGGCACAAAUCAGAGGACAAAUGGAAAAACAACUUGAAGAAGGACUCACCAAGGCAACAAAAGAAUCGAUGACCUAGAACUGCCUCUUUUCUGACAUUUCCCAUUGGUCAAAAGCAUGAAACAUGAAAUCACAGUCCAAACAAAAGCAGUGAUCAUUCAACAUCUGCCUGGCUUUUCUGGUUUCUUUGCAAUUAAUGGGCUUCCACUGAAAAUGUCUGGAGUUUCCUGUUACUGUUCUGUUCUUGUUGGAGAGAGACAAUAAAGUUUUCAUCUAGUUUCCUGGCUGGUGUGUGGUUGUAUUCAACUAAGUCUUACUUAGAGUAGACCUGUUGAAGUCAAUAAACCUAAGUUAGUCAUGUCUGUUAACUUUAAUGGGUUUACUCUUGAGUAGGACUAGCACUGAAUACCAUCCACGAACAACAAACGCAGGAGAGGUCGGGAGAACAGCCAUAGCAGGUCUACUUGUUUAUGUUGUUGUUGUUCUUAUGCAAAGCAGGAAGAUGAAGUAAAAGUACACUCGCAUCCUUAUUCUGUAUCAGCCAGCAUAAAGAGGUAGACCACUCAGCCUGUGCCAAGAAGUCCAUGCCGUGUGCAGUGUGAGUUCAUAGUUUUCUUGUAGCCAUUGUAAAAUGUAAUCUUUACACAAUGGAUGGUGACCAAACCACUUUACUGAGAACAAACUCUAACACACAUUGGGCACCCCUGGGGGCAUGUGAGUGUUUCAAAAAUAUGUACAAUAAAAUGUGGAUUUUUCAAAAAUGUGAAUGAAUUUUUUUUAAUUAUACAUACUCUGAUUUGUUUUUAUUAUUAAGUCCCAAAUGUUAUUUAUAGUUAAACCUUAUGCUAUUUCAAUCAUUUUGAAAAUUCAAAUAAAAUAAUUAGGGGAGCUAGUUUGAAGGGGGGGCGUGAGUUUUUUAUGUUAGCUACAAGGGGGCAUGGUUUUAAAAAGGCGGAAAAACACUGCUGUAGUUCCUAAGCUUUGUGUAAAAACCUGGACUGGAACUAUUCCAGAGACUUCUGAACUGGAACAUAUAAAACACAGACUGGAUUUUCUAACAUUACAAUGUUAGAGUGAAGGUAGACAUAACAUUCUGAGUGUAAGGGGAGUGAUUUAAACCCAUAUCUAUGUAUGGCUUGUUUUUAUGUGCACCCCUUAGAAAUGGGAAUGAUUAAGUGGUAUAUAAAUGUCUUAAAUAAAUGAAUGAAUAAAUAUUCUCUGCCCUGAAAACAAAUUUCUCAGCCUCCAACAAAUGUGUGUUCAACCGUCAAACCACUUCCACCACAAUUCCAUCCUCAUGUGACCUGCAUAGGCCUAUCACUGUAAGGAAGCUUUCUUGGUUGAUGAGACUAGUAGUGUCCCCACAUUUACUUCCUUUGGUCAAACCUGAGUUGUUGUGGGGCACACGUUACAUCCCCAACUGAGAUGCUCAAUUUUUUUUUAUAAAAAGCCCACAAUGCAUUUAAAUUGUGGCACAGAGAUGGGUUUACAAUCCUAAUGAAACAGCUGGACAUAGAUACUUUUAAAUCCUAUUUAUUGAGGUGAAAGUAUUAAGCACAUGCUUUGGGCUGCAAUCCAAUACAUGUCUACUUAGAAAUAAGCUCCAUUAGGUUCAAUGCAAUUUACUCCCAGGUAAGUGUAUAUUUAAUAGCAGAGUCCUAAGCAUGCUUACUCAGAAAUAAGUCCUACUGUGUUCAGUUGUGCUUACUCAUUUAUAAGAGGCUUCAGGGAUG